AUAAUUAUAAUAAUUAUAUGCAAUAGCGUAACAUUACAGUAAAAUUUUAGUUCAAAAUAUUUCAAUCGAUAUAAUAAUAUCAUUCAUUGCCGACCUCUGGAUAAAAUCAAAAGUGAUUUCAUCAAAAUAUAUAACUUAUAUACAACAAUACGACGGCGCACUACAGUAUCCUGCAUUAACGUUCAUCGCAUACAAAAAUAUCAUUAUAUUAUACUAGGUAUAAUAUUCGUGUAACCGUUUAUACGUUAAUAUAUUACCAAUUUUAAUAACGAAUCAUAUAAUGUCGGUGCGGAAAAACGUGUUGCCGACCAUGUUCGUCGUGCUGCUGAUAAUGUCACCCGUCACCCCAACCAGUGUCUUCAUUUCCGCCGUAUGUUACAGUGGUUGCGGAUCCUUAGCUUUAGUUUGCUUCGUGUCCAACGGCAUAACCAACGGAUUGGAUUACUUUAAGUCCUCUGCUCCUCUGUCGACGUCUGAAACAUCAUGCGGAGAAGCAUUCGACACGUGCACGGACCACUGCCUAGCGAACUUUAAGUUCUAGCCCUAAAGCUCAAGCCGCUGUCAAGAAACGGCAUACCUGAUUCUGCUACACUAGAAGACUAAAUUGUUGUAUAAUAUGAUCACAACUAAUUAAUUAGUGUAUAAUAAUAUUAUAUAUGCGCUGGCAAUAAUAAUUUUUA